rnacentral:rRNA from 1 species
UACGUAGGGUGCAAGCGUUGUCCGGAUUUAUUGGGUUUAAAGGGUGCGUAGGCGGCCCGUUAAGUCAGUGGUGAAAACCAGCAGCUCAACUGUUGAUGUGCCAAUGAUACUGGCGGGCUAGAGUACAGACGAGGUAGGCGGAAUUGACAGUGUAGGGGUGAAAUGCAUAGAGAUUGUCAAGAACACCGAUAGCGAAGGCAGCUUGCUAGCCUGUAACUGACGAUGAGGCACGAAAGUGUGGGGAUCAAACAGG